AAGUCAACAGAGAUUCCAAAAAUGAACGCUUCUUGGUGUUAGAAAUUUGAUUCUUUUCAUUUUCUUUUUUCUUUCGUUUGUCCUUCUCUU
rnacentral:ribozyme from 12 species